AGGCUAUUAGUUUAAGAAAAACACUUGAUUUCGGCUCAAGAGCUUGUGGUUAAAGUCCAUAAUUACCUG
rnacentral:tRNA from 2 species